AGAGUUUGAUCCUGGCUCAGGACGAACGCUGGCGGCGUGCUUAACACAUGCAAGUCGAGCGGAAAGGCCCCUUCGGGGGUACUCGAGCGGCGAACGGGUGAGUAACACGUGAGCAACCUGCCCCUGACUCUGGGAUAAGCCUGGGAAACCGGGUCUAAUACCGGAUACGACCAUUGCGGGCAUCCGUUGGUGGUGGAAAGUUUUUUCGGUCGGGGAUGGGCUCGCGGCCUAUCAGCUUGUCGGUGGGGUGACGGCCUACCAAGGCGACGACGGGUAACCGGCCUGAGAGGGCGACCGGUCACACUGGGACUGAGACACGGCCCAGACUCCUACGGGAGGCAGCAGUGGGGAAUAUUGCGCAAUGGGCGGAAGCCUGACGCAGCGACGCCGCGUGGGGGAUGACGGCCUUCGGGUUGUAAACCUCUUUCAGCGGGGACGAAGCCCUUUGGGGUGACGGUACCUGCAGAAGAAGCGCCGGCUAACUACGUGCCAGCAGCCGCGGUAAUACGUAGGGCGCGAGCGUUGUCCGGAAUUAUUGGGCGUAAAGAGCUCGUAGGCGGUUUGUCGCGUCGGAUGUGAAAGCCCAUGGCUUAACUGUGGGUCUGCAUUCGAUACGGGCAGACUAGAGGUAGGUAGGGGAGCAUGGAAUUCCCGGUGUAGCGGUGAAAUGCGCAGAUAUCGGGAGGAACACCGGUGGCGAAGGCGGUGCUCUGGGCCUUACCUGACGCUGAGGAGCGAAAGCGUGGGGAGCGAACAGGAUUAGAUACCCUGGUAGUCCACGCCGUAAACGUUGGGCGCUAGGUGUGGGGUUCUUCCACGGAUUCCGCGCCGUAGCUAACGCAUUAAGCGCCCCGCCUGGGGAGUACGGCCGCAAGGCUAAAACUCAAAUGAAUUGACGG
rnacentral:rRNA from 1 species